rnacentral:rRNA from 1 species
ACUACGGGUGGCAGCAGUGGGGAAUAUUGCACAAUGGGGGAAACCCUGAUGCAGCGACGCCGCGUGAAGGAAGAAGGAUUUCGGUAUGUAAACUUCUAUCAGCAGGGAAGAAAAUGACGGUACCUGACUAAGAAGCCCCGGCUAACUACGUGCCAGCAGCCGCGGGAAUACGUAGGGGGCAAGCGUUAUCCGGAAUUACUGGGUGUAAAGGGAGCGUAGGCGGGAAAGCAAGUUGAAUGUUUACGGUACGGGCUCAACCUGUACAAGCUUUCCAAACUGUUUUUCUUGAGUGGAGUAGAGGUAAGCGGAAUUCCUAGUGUAGCGGUGAAAUGCGUACAUAUUAGGCGGCACACCAGUGGCGAAGGCGGCUUACUGGGCUUUAACUGACGCUGAGGCUCG